rnacentral:rRNA from 1 species
GUAGUCCACGCCGUAAACGAUGUCGACUUGGAGGUUGUGCCCUUGAGGCGUGGCUUCCGGAGCUAACGCGUUAAGUCGACCGCCUGGGGAGUACGGCCGCAAGGUUAAAACUCAAAUGAAUUGACGGGGGCCCGCACAAGCGGUGGAGCAUGUGGUUUAAUUCGAUGCAACGCGAAGAACCUUACCUGGCCUUGACAUCCACGGAAUUUGGCAGAGAUGCCUUAGUGCCUUCGGGAACCGUGAGACAGGUGCUGCAUGGCUGUCGUCAGCUCGUGUUGUGAAAUGUUGGGUUAAGUCCCGCAACGAGCGCAACCCUUAUCCUUUGUUGCCUGCGAUUCGGUCGGGAACUCAAAGGAGACUGCCGGUGAUAAACCGGAGGAAGGUGGGGAUGACGUCAAGUCAUCAUGGCCCUUACGGCCAGGGCUACACACGUGCUACAAUGGCGCAUACAAAGAGAAGCGACCUCGCGAGAGCAAGCGGACCUCAUAAAGUGCGUCGUAGUCCGGAUUGGAGUCUGCAACUCGACUCCAUGAAGUCGGAAUCGCUAGUAAUCGUAGAUCAGAAUGCUACGGUGAAUA